UUGACAACCCCCUAACAAACAACAUAAACUGGGACGGGAACAUGGAAGACCUUAUGGGCUCAGACAAAUAAGGAGCCCAACAGAGAUGUAUCCUACCUGGCCAAUCUUCAUGUGAAGCUUCUAAUCCCAUUUUCCACACCUUUGAUCAUUUUUCCCCCUUCACUAGUGAACACAGCCACAUCCAUCCUCACCCAGCACAGUUUUGGCUCCCCUGCUUCCAGUUACAGACAAACAUCUCAUGGCAGCUCACAAGGGAGGAUUCAAACAGAGCACUGACACCUCACAGGGCAGCCCAAAACAAGAGACCCAGGUCAAGGCUCAGACACCUCUGACUCAUACCAAGUUUCUGCAGGGCCUGACACAACAGGUCGACAGACUCUCCUUGAAAUCAAACAACAGCAAGCACAAGGUGACGGUGUCUUGGCCAGGAAGGACCCAGAUUCAAGACAGUCCUCAGAGGCACAACUCCAAGCUAAAUAAAUGUUGAUGAACUCCUUUCUCUUCA